GAUGAACGCUGGCGGCGUGCCUAAUACAUGCAAGUCGAGCGAACAGACGAGGAGCUUGCUCCUCUGACGUUAGCGGCGGACGAGUGAGUAACACGUGGAUAACCUACCUAUAAGACUGGGAUAACUUCGGGAAACCGGAGCUAAUACCGGAUAAUAUAUUGAACCGCAUGGUUCAAUAGUGAAAGACGGUUUUGCUGUCACUUAUAGAUGGAUCCGCGCCGCAUUAGCUAGUUGGUAAGGUAACGGCUUACCAAGGCAACGAUGCGUAGCCGACCUGAGAGGGUGAUCGGCCACACUGGAACUGAGACACGGUCCAGACUCCUACGGGAGGCAGCAGUAGGGAAUCUUCCGCAAUGGGCGAAAGCUUGACGGAGCAACGCCGCGUGAGUGAUGAAGGUCUUCGGAUCGUAAAACUCUGUUAUUAGGGAAGAACAAAUGUGUAAGUAACUAUGCACGUCUUGACGGUACCUAAUCAGAAAGCCACGGCUAACUACGU
rnacentral:rRNA from 1 species